AGUGAACGCUGGCGGUAGGCCUAACACAUGCAAGUCGAACGGCAGCACAGUAAGAGCUUGCUCUUACGGGUGGCGAGUGGCGGACGGGUGAGGAAUACAUCGGAAUCUACUUUUUCGUGGGGGAUAACGGAGGGAAACUUCCGCUAAUACCGCAUACGACCUACGGGUGAAAGCAGGGGAUCUUCGGGCCUUGCGCGAUUGAAUGAGCCGAUGUCGGAUUAGCUAGUUGGCGGGGUAAAGGCCCACCAAGGCGACGAUCCGUAGCUGGUCUGAGAGGAUGAUCAGCCACACUGGAACUGAGACACGGUCCAGACUCCUACGGGAGGCAGCAGUGGGGAAUAUUGGACAAUGGGCGCAAGCCUGAUCCAGCCAUGCCGCGUGGGUGAAGAAGGUCUUCGGGUUGUAAAGCCCUUUUGUUGGGAAAGAAAAGCAGCAGGUUAAUCCCCCGCUGUUCUGACGGUACCCAAUGAAUAAGCACCGGCUAACUUCGUG
rnacentral:rRNA from 1 species